AGUGAACGCUGGCGGUAGGCCUAACACAUGCAAGUCGAACGGCAGCACAGAGGAGCUUGCUCCUUGGGUGGCGAGUGGCGGACGGGUGAGGAAUACAUCGGAAUCUACUCUGUCGUGGGGGAUAACGUAGGGAAACCUACGCUAAUACCGCAUACGACCUACGGGGGAAAGCAGGGGACCUUCGGGCCUUGCGCGAUUGAAUGAGCCGAUGUCGGAUUAGCUAGUUGGCGGGGUAAAGGCCCACCAAGGCGACGAUCCGUAGCUGGUCUGAGAGGAUGAUCAGCCACACUGGAACUGAGACACGGUCCAGACUCCUACGGGAGGCAGCAGUGGGGAAUAUUGGACAAUGGGCGCAAGCCUGAUCCAGCCAUACCGCGUGGGUGAAGAAGGCCUUCGGGUUGUAAAGCCCUUUUGUUGGGAAAGAAAUCCAGCUGGCUAAUACCCGGUUGGGAUGACGGUACCGUAAGAAUAAGCACCGGCUAACUACGUGCCAGCCGCCGCAGUAA
rnacentral:rRNA from 1 species